AAGUUGGGGCUGAGUUGGGGGACCAGAGAGAGAAAGUGGGGGCGGACCGGCUCCGGGGGCACAUGACGGCGGCGCCCGCCCCGCCCCGCGCCCGCCCCCUGUCCGGCCCGGGGGGAGGAGACGGGAAGGUUUUAAAAGCGAUUCGGCCCCGCGGCGGGCCGGCCAGUGAGUGGGAUGGAGCCGGGCCCGCGACCGACCCCGGCCCGUCUCGGGUCCGCCGCCCGCCCGCGUCUCUGCCGCCGGGCCCGGGGCGGCGGCCGGAGCCCCGAGUGCCGGCUCCCCUCCCCCGCGGCCCCACACUGACCUCUGACCCCAGCACUGGACUUGACUGCCACCAGAGCCCCCAGCCCUACACUGACUUGCCUAUUCAGCCCAGCCAGGCCCAGCCAGGCCCAGUGGCCUCCCGAAUGCCUUGAAGGUGCAGUUGGCUCUCCUGUCACCUGCCCCAGUCCUAACCAGCUGCUCGCUCAUGAUGACGGGUGCCAUGUGAGGUUAAAGCUGGGGGGUGGUGUGGGACCCCUGGCAUGAAGGCUGUCCUCUGGCAGCUCUUCCCAUGCCCCCCGGAGCUGGAGGGCAGUACCCGACAGGUGCCCUGGCUUAGAGGCGAGGUGAUGUGGGACACACCCUGUCCGCUCGCCCACGCACCCUGCCUGGGCCGGCCCCUGCGCAUGUGUUCACACGCCGCAGUCCCAGGAAGGCACGUCCUGGGAAGGCACGGGCCCUGGGGCCUGGUGCCAGCUCCGUCCUAGCUCCCAGAAGGGCACCCGUUGCCCUCUGCCCUUGCAGGAUGUCCUCUGGGAGCUCCUUCGAGACCCCAACUGGCAGGCCUCGUCUGUGGGCCCAGAGGGGGCCCUAAAAUAGCUGCUGGCCUAGCCCAGGGCUGGCACGCGGAGCACAUGCGUGACAGGGCGUGUCCAGGGGGGUCGGGCCUGUCUGUGCUAGCCCGGCCUCCAAGUCUCUGCAGACCCUUGCUCGCUGGAGAGAAAUCUCGGAGGCGGAUGCUCCAGGGGUCCUCCCAGGGCCCCCGUACCAACCUCUGCCUGUUGUAAGUGGAGGCCAGAUGUUCUGCGCUGGCCACAGCUGCUGAGCAGCCCCUGUCGCUACUGCAGUCCCAGGGUAACUGGCAUCAUGGUCCGGGUGGGUGUAAGUGGGGUGACCUGCUUCCUAUGGGCCCAGGUGGCACUUGGAUAUACCUUAAAGCAUUUUUUCAGAGUGUGCCCUUCACCUUGGGAAGCUGAGCGGAGGGGCUCUGUUUUCGGUGAAGAAUACUGCUGGGAACCCUGGGUGGUCGCAAAAAGACACUUUCCUGCCCCUCGCUGGGCUGUCUGGCCAGCCCUUUUCCACUCUGGAUACGCUUUCUGCCAGGAGCAGACCUGGCUUUCCUUUAGAUUUGCUGCAUGACCUUGGGCCCGGCCCUGAAUUCCUCUGGGCCUCGGUUUCUCCGUCUGUAAAUGGGGAGCACCAGAAAACAAGCGGAAGAGAGUGCAUGUCCCCUCCUUGUCGCGGGCGCUCGCCUUCAGAUCCCUUUUGGGGCCCCCUGGCCACCUUCCCUCCUGCCAUCAGGUGUCCUGGGUGGACAAGGAGAUGUGUUGGAAAAGGCUGGUCACCUGGAGAGGUCGUACACGGAGGGCAGCGGGCGUAGGCGUGUGGGAAUCCUUGGGCAGAGAAGGACGCCGCCAUGCUGGGCACGGCUGAGUCAUGCUCCAGCAGCGCCUUGCCCCAGGGUGCUGGAGCUGGCGCCACCCUGGGUGUGGUCACUGAGCUGUGGCCCUGGGCAGAGCAGGCCUGGGUGGUCUGGGAUGGGGGGCCUGGGUGGUGAGCGGCCAGGAAGCUGACUUCUGAGACUUGAAGACCUUUGGCCUUCCCCUGGCCUGGGUCUGGCAUCACCAUCCAGGACUGUGGUCACCCACGCCCUUAGAAUGCCUUGAGGAUCCUGGGGACCCCUCAGCCUUGGGCCUGGGAGUCCUGGGGGUGCCGAGGAAGGAGGACAAGGCCCAGAAGCCCGUGAUUCGCCUCGAGGCUGGCGGUCUCCCUGCAAAAGGCAGGCCAGGGCUACGAUGGGGACGUAUGGGGACAAGGCAAGAAGUGAACAUGGCAAUAGGGUGUGCCCCUCAGUUAAGGGCUCUCGGUGUGGAUGUUGGGGGGGGGCGCCCUGGGAAUUCCGUGACUGAUCCUAGGGGGAUUGAAGUUUAAGGCAGGGGCUGGAGUGUGGUGUGGUGUGGCUGGGCACAGUGGGGGCUGGGAAGUGACUUGCACGGUUCCCCUAUUUAUAACAAGUGAUUCAGUCCUCACUUACUCACCCCUUCCUGGGCCUGCCCCCUCCCCCCGGCCCUGGGUGGGCAGUGGGGGCCCACCCACUUGCCACUGUCCUGCCUGCCUCCACCCAGGUGCCAGCCUCUGAGCGUCGCCCAUCGGGAUGGUUGUUGACGGUUGCUGUGUUGGGAUCAGGGUAACGGAUGGGGGGCUGGUGGUCAGGCGGCACUUGGCCGAGCAGCCCAGGUUGGCGGCUGGCUCUGGGCCCGGCCCAGGGAGCCUCUGCGGAGAGUCUAGGCCCAUUAGGCAAAGCGUUAGUGACAGGCUGGGAGGGCGGGCGGUGGCGGGCAGGGCGGGGCCUGCAGCCCUUGGUAUUUUCCGAUCCCAGCUGCUCCGAGAGGGUGGAAAGUAUUUGGGGACCAGGCUUGGGGGCGGUGGUGGUGGCGCCCCCGGCGGAAGCUGCCCCUGAUUCAUUCUUGGAGCAUGGGGUUGGGGGGUGGUGACAGUAAGCCUGCCUGCUUGUGUCUCGUGCCUCCACGCCCUGUACUCAGGCAUACAUACAUACAUCCGUGUGGCUUGGGGCCUGCUCUGCUCCUCCGGCCCAGGGGCCCAUCUUCCCCCCACGCCUCCAGCUGCCAAGGACUUGGCCCUCCCUGGACACCCAUCUCCCAUGAGCCUGAGAGGCACACCUUUGGUAACAGGGGUCCCGGCUCCUGGGCACCUGCACGGCAGCGCCCCAUCCAUGAGAGACCCAGGCCUUUUGUGCCUUUGGGGAUGGGGAGUGGCCUUGGCCCCGGCCUGGGGCUCUGUGCAGGGGAAACCCCACAGGAAACGGGCCUGGCCAAAUGGCCGCCCUUCCCGUUCUCGUCCCUGGGACACGAAUGUGCUGUCUCACUUCCGGAGGCGGCCCAGGGAGGCCGGCCGCCCUGCAGGGCCUUGUCUGCUCCCGGUUGGUGCCCCCAGACCCUGAGGGGACAGGGCUGGGGCCUGAUGGGAAAGCCGGUGGCCACUGUAUGUGUGUGUGUGUGUGUGUGUGCGCGCGCGUGUGCCCCCGCGUGCGCCUGUAUGAAUGGGGGGGGUCGGGGAACAGAGCAGGACAUCUCUUAACACCUGUCUCCCAGUGACGGGCGCCACCAUAUGUGGGUGCCAGGGUCCCACCAGUGUUUGGAAUCUUCACUGCCACCGUCUUUUCUGUUUCUGCCUGAUGAUGACAGCAUGGCCCCAUUCUAAUUACAUGUACCACUUGUGAGAUCCUUACCACGGCAUUAUCUCUGCUUUGUGGAUGGGGAAAGGGAGGCCCAGAGGGGUUGAGUGGCUUUCUAGGAGUCACCCAGCUAGGAUGCUACAGAACCAGGGUUCAGAGCUGCCCAAACUGGCUCCAGAGUUGGGGGUCUCCUGGCCAGAGGGCUCUUAUCAUUAAGGAGAGCUCCGUUUACGACACACAGGCUGGCUUCAUGGGCUUGUGAUCAUGCAGUUCACGGGGUCUCCCCUGCUCGGAAGGACCUGAGCUUGGGUUAAUGCUCUUCUGUCAGCGUCUUGAAAUUCGCAAGUUGUGAAGAAGGGACCCCGCAAUUUCAUUUUGCACUGAACACUGACAAUCGUGUAAGGCGGUCCUGGUGCUGGGUGCUUGUGAAUGACAUACGCUCUUGGUGAAACCUCCCUGUGCUGUGCGGUUGAGGCCCUGGGCUGUUAUACAGAUGGGGAAACUGAGGCUUGGAGGGCAUUUGGGAAACUGCAGAGUGGAGAUUUGCACCUUGGGCCUGCGUCCGGUGCUCUGGGGAUGUGUGUGCCCGCGGGAAGAGCUGGGUACCCGCUGUCGGCAUCCGCUCUGAUGGGGUGCAGGCUAAGGCUUGGCCACUGAGGAGACGGGGCCACGGGAGGGGGGAGAGGCCCUGGUGGUUUCCUCCUGCCCUUCAGUCUUCUAGGAAGUGGCGCCAGCUGGGGUGAGAUCACUUCCUCACCCGCCUGCCCGCCACCCCAUCGACUUCCUCUCCUCAUGGCCCCGUUUAGCCUGCCCAGGGCUUACGGGGGGGGGGGGCGGGAAAAGGGGGGGAACCUGGCUCUGGAAGUCCCUGCAGCCCUCUUAGCUCAGAGGGAUCCUUGGAGCAUCUCUGCCUCUCCGGGCCUGGGCCUGAGCGUGUGGCUGCGGUGGGGGCGUCCAGCCUGGUGGUCCAGCAUUCCCUUCAGCUGCCGCCGUGUGUGGGGACAGGGCUUCCCUACCAAGCCUCAGCGGGGACGUGGAGCACAGAUGUCUUCAAAUCUCAUUUACCUCCUUUGCUCUCUCUCCCCCCCACCCUCAGGUGCCAACCUCCGGUCCCACCUGGUGCCCCCCAACCCCUGUGCCAUGGCCGGCUGGGGUUCCUGGGGAUGGGAUUUGCUGCCUGUCACAAAUCACAUUGCCAGGGAUUUCCAACCGACCCUGAGCCCUGCCUCUGGGGCUGCCGCCACCGCCUUCGCUGCUGAGGACGCUGCCCGGGGAUAGGGCCGGGGAUGGGAGGCCGAGAGGCCCCCCGCCCCCUGCGGCCUGCGUCUGGCCUGGGGAGCAGGGCUUAGCUGCUUGUGAGCAGAGUCCACACCAAGUCGUGUUCACAGUGGCUAAGUUCCGCCCCCCGGGACCCCACCUCCUCUGGCCCUGCCGCCUGCCUGUCCCACUGUCCGGGCCUCCCUGGGCUCUGCCUCCCGUGCCUACUGAGCUGAAACACAGUUGAUUUGUGCAGACUGGCUCAGUUCAGCAGGAACAGGAGUCGAGCCCCCUCGAAGCCUGUGCAGCCUGCCUUCCUCGGGUGGGCUGAUUCCUAGAGGAAAAGCUGAGGACCCAGACCCAGACCUGUGUUGGGCAGAGGGACUUGGGGGAGGGGCAAUAUAGCCUGGAAUGGGGUGGGUGGACCCAGCUGUCUGCUGUAGGCACCCUCCCCCAACUCUGUACUUGGGGGUCCUGCCCCCUGCACAGUCCUACUUCCGGCUGAGGCUGGACAGAACUCCUAGGGAGAAUGGGCAGGUGGGUGGGUGGCCCUCCCACUAGAAAGGGAAGCCAUCUGGGUCCCUAUCCCCUCCCAGUAACCCUCCCAGCCUGGAGCCUUGGCCUUUUCUCUCCCAGGCCUGGUGGGACGUGGACCAGGCCUGUACCUUCCCAGCAGCCAGUUACUCAAGAGGAAGCUGCCCUGGGCCCCCAGACCGUUAAAUGCCAACUCCGGCUUCCGGAACCAGGCUGGCCUGACCUGAGUGUGCCUGGCCUCUUCUCCCUGAACCCUGCGGCGUCCUAACUUUGGGGGUGUGGGGAGAGCUGUGACACUCUCCGGGCACGUGGAGCAGGGAGCAAGGUCCCUUGUGGGCCCAGAAAGGACACAGAUGGGCCUGUUGAGUCCGCUGGUGGCCCUGCAGUGCACGUGCUACUGCAAGACCGGAGACUGUCCAGUAUCAGAUGGGAUGGACCCUGAGUGCGACCAGGCAGAGAGAGAGGCCCCCUAGGCUGUCAGGGCUGGCCCAGGGUACCCUUUCACCCAGGGAUAGGGGCAUACUUCAGCUCGGGGCAGGGUCUGUGCUGUGUGUUGCUAUCCAAUUAAAUAAAACCUGCCUCCUACCUCA